rnacentral:rRNA from 1 species
AACGCUGGCGCGUGCUUAACACAUGCAAGUCGAACGAGAAGAGAUGAGAAGCUUGCUUCUUAUCAAUUCGAGUGGCAAACGGGUGAGUAACGCGUAAGCAACCUGCCCUUCAGAUGGGGACAACAGCUGGAAACGGCUGCUAAUACCGAAUACGUUCUUUUUGUCGCAUGGCAGAGGGAAGAAAGGGAGGCUCUUCGGAGCUUUCGCUGAAGGAGGGGCUUGCGUCUGAUUAGCUAGUUGGAGGGGUAACAGCCCACCAAGGCGACGAUCAGUAGCCGGUCUGAGAGGAUGAACGGCCACAUUGGGACUGAGACACGGCCCAGACUCCUACGGGAGGCAGCAGUGGGGAAUCUUCCGCAAUGGACGAAAGUCUGACGGAGCAACGCCGCGUGAACGAUGACGGCCUUCGGGUUGUAAAGUUCUGUUAUACGGGACGAAUGGCGUAGCGGUCAAUACCCGUUACGAGUGACGGUACCGUAAGAGAAAGCCACGGCUAACUACGUG